rnacentral:rRNA from 1 species
UGCGCAGGCGGGCGAUCAAGUUGGAAGUGAAAUCCAUGGGCUCAACCCAUGAACUGCUUUCAAAACUGGUCGUCUUGAGUAGUGCAGAGGUAGGCGGAAUUCCCGGUGUAGCGGUGGAAUGCGUAGAUAUCGGGAGGAACACCAGUGGCGAAGGCGGCCUACUGGGCACCAACUGACGCUGAGGCUGAAAGUGUGGGUAGCAAACA